AGUGAACAAGGUAGAAAGGGAAUGGAAAUGAGCAAAUAUAGACCAUGCAGAGUUCUUCAACAAGCAACUUAUUCCUAAAAAAAAUCUAUCCUGAGCACUGAAAUUAGUCUUCCAAAAUAAAGCCUUCCAGAGAUGGAUACUGAGAAUUAAUUAAUAGCAUCAUAUUUAAUAGAUGACUCUGCUUUCCAUAUCCUACCAGGAGGCUUCAAUCUUUAUUGUGACAGCCAUUAAAUUUAUACCAAUACAUGGAAGUAAGUUAUCUGUGAAAAACAUUUCUUCAGUUACAUUUUGUCUUCUUGCCUCCACUAAUAUAAAAGCUUACUGUCAUUUUGUUGAGCCUUUGAAAGAUUUUAGUUAGGUAAGUUGAUUUGUUAAUUAUUGUCAUCCUUUAAUAUUUGUGUGGUUUGUAUCAUUCUGUUUCUUUUCUUUUCUGUCCCAGGGAUUGUGUUUAUUAUU